GUGGGUUCUUGGUCUCACUGACCUCAAGAAUGAAGCCACAGAACUUUGCGGUGAGUAUUACACUCUUUAAGAUGGUGUGUCUGGAGUUUGUUCCUUCAGAUAUGUCCAGAGUUUCUUCCUUCUGGUGGGUUCAUCUUGCUGACUUCAAGAACGAAGCCACAGACCUUCACGGCGAGUGUUACAGCUCUUAAAGGUGUUGUGGACCCAAAGAGUGAGCAGCAGCAAGAUUUAUUGUGAAGAUCGAAAUAACAAAGCUUCCACAGCAUGGAAGGAGACCUGAGCAGGUAUGACUGAUUUUCCCAAAAUAUUUUGUGAAACUUCUCAGAAGUUGGUGAGUGUGGAAGCCUUUGCUCUGGCUGCGAAAUACUAUUCUGUACAAAACUUGGGAAUAUGUACUCCUUUUGAACAGUUGCUUGUAGCCCUUCGAGGAAAUCAAACCCAGAGAAUUGGUGAAAAUCAGAAGGCAGUUGAGUUUAUGAAUAUGAAGAAAUCUCAUGAAGUUCAGGCAAUGUCAGAGCUGAUCAGCAGUAUUGCUGACUACUAUGGAAUAAAGCAGGUGAUUGACUUGGGUUCUGGUAAAGGCUACCUAAGCUCUUUUUUGUCCUUGAAGUAUGGCUUAAAAGUUUAUGGAAUUGAUUCCUCAAAUACCAAUACUCAUGGAGCUGAGGAGAGAAACAGAAAAUUGAAGAAACAUUGGAAACUCUGUCAUGCUCAGUCAAGAUUAGAUGUCAAUGGACUAGCAUUAAAAAUGGCAAAAGAAAGGAA
rnacentral:sRNA from 1 species